AAUAAUCCCCUCAGCAGUAGAAACCAUCUUUAAUAAAAAAGUGUCCUCUCCGCCCCUGGUUCGGUAAAAAAGCUGAUGGAUGAUGGAGGAACCACUCAAAUUCUAUCGAAACUAGUAUAGAUGAUUGAAUACUAGUGGGUGAGAGUUGGCACCGGCAUCAGGCCCUACCGUGUGUCAGUCGGUCCCGAGGAGGGGCGUUGUCCCGUCUUUUGGCUACAGCAGUCUAGCUUUCAGAUUUCUACCCCGAUCUUGCAAACCCUCUCCAUUAUUUAACGGAAAUGAGUGUGAGCCAUUACAAAAACAUCUGUCCUGUACGAGGAAAUGUUUUUUUUAUCAUGUCCUGUCGCAAUGACAACGGAUUUGCUAAAGUACAGGUCCAGAGACGAGCCCAGAGAAUACUUCCUGCUCACCCUCAGCUCCUCCACCAUACCUGAGACAGGACAACACAGGGCACAGCUCUGCAGAACGCAACACCCACCUCGCUACAACGACCGCAGGGGGAGAGAAGGGACAAACUAACGACGAGAGACAAAGACAAGACGACAGGAGAGGUGACAACAAGACGGAGACAACAAUACGGAGACAACAAGACAGAGACAACAAGACGGAGACAACAAGACGGAGAC